AUUGAACGCUGUCGGCAGGCCUAACACAUGCAAGUCGAACGAGUGGCGGACUGGUGAGUAAUGUCUGGGAAACUGCCCGAUGGCGGGGGCUAACUAGUGUAAACGGUAGCUAAUACCGCAUACCAUCGGAUGUGCCCAUAUGGGAUUAGCUAGUAGGUGGGGUAAUGGCUAACCUAGGCGACGAUCCCUAGCUGGUCUGAGAGGAUGACCAGCCACACUGGAACUGAGACACGGUCCAGACUCCUACGGGAGGCAGCAGUGGGGAAUAUUGCACAAUGGGCGCAAGCCUGAUGCAGCCAUGCCGCGUGUAUGAAGAAGGCCUUCGGGUUGUAAAGUACUUUCAGCGAGGAGGCGUUACUCGCAGAAGAAGCACCGGCUAACUCCGUGCCAGCCGCCGCGGUAAUAC
rnacentral:rRNA from 1 species